UUGUUUGGAGAGUUUGAUCCUGGCUCAGGACGAACGCUGGCGGCGUGCUUAACACAUGCAAGUCGAGCGGAAAGGCCCUUCGGGGUACUCGAGCGGCGAACGGGUGAGUAACACGUGAGUAACCUGCCCC
rnacentral:rRNA from 2 species